rnacentral:rRNA from 1 species
AACGAACGCUGGCGGCAGGCCUAACACAUGCAAGUCGAGCGCGCCCUUCGGGGUGAGCGGCGGACGGGUGAGUAACGCGUGGGAACGUGCCCUUUUCUACGGAAUAGCCUCGGGAAACUGAGAGUAAUACCGUAUACGCCCUUUGGGGGAAAGAUUUAUCGGAAAAGGAUCGGCCCGCGUUGGAUUAGGUAGUUGGUGGGGUAAUGGCCUACCAAGCCGACGAUCCAUAGCUGGUUUGAGAGGAUGAUCAGCCACACUGGGACUGAGACACAGCCCAGACUCCUACGGGAGGCAGCAGUGGGGAAUCUUAGACAAUGGGGGCAACCCUGAUCUAGCCAUGCCGCGUGAGUGAUGAAGGCCUUAGGGUUGUAAAGCUCUUUCAGCUGGGAAGAUAAUGACGGUACCAGCAGAAGAAGCCCCGGCUAACUCCGUG